rnacentral:rRNA from 1 species
UACGUAGGGAGCAAGCGUUGUUCGGAUUUACUGGGCGUAAAGGGCGCGUAGGCGGCAAAUUAAGUCAGCUGUGAAAUCUCCGAGCUUAACUCGGAACUGUCAGCUGAUACUGAUCUGCUAGAGUGCGGAAGGGGCAAUCGGAAUUCUUGGUGUAGCGGUAAAAUGCGUAGAUAUCAAGAGGAACACCUGAGGUGAAGACGGGUUGCUGGGCCGACACUGACGCUGAGUGCGCGAAAGCCAGGGGAGCAAACGGG